rnacentral:snRNA from 1 species
GUGCUCACUUUGGCAGCACAUAUACUAAAACUGGAAUGAUACAAAGAAGAUUAGCAUGGCCCCUGCACAAGAAUGACACGCAAAUCUGUGAAGUGUUACAUGUUUUU